CUGCAUGCAUGUUAUGAAAACUCCUCAUCUCAUGAACUUGUACCAUGGAUCAAGUAAAAAGUAGCUACGAUCACCAAAGCCCUGAUAACUGAUUGGGUUUCUUACGGUGUGAUGAUAGCGCCAAAGAGUGCGAUCGCAUUGGCAGCAGCGCCUUUCCCUUGGAGAGAAGGGACAAACAUGCCCUUGACCACCUCUCCUGCAGACGGCCUCAAAUAGCUUAGCUCUCCGAAGAAGCAAGCUGCCAUAGUGAACAUGAAUGCUGCUAUGAUGAACUCCAGCUUCCGAGCCUGGUGGACAUGUCAUAUGGUAAGGUCAAUUCGUCAGUAGCCCAUUCUCAGUGUAAUUCAUCUGACAAUCAUAUAAGUCUGAGAAAUUCUUUGCGCACCCCAAAUCUCUGUACUCCAAGAAGCAAGAGGGUGCUGAACACUGUGAGAAUAACUCCAGCCCACACUGGAAUCUUAAGCAAUAUGUUGAACGCAAAAGCUGUGCCCAACACUGCACUAACAAAAGAACGUGUUACUCAUGCUAAAUCUAGCACAGAAAUAAAUAAAUAAAUAAAUAAAUAAAUAAAUAAAUAAAUAAAACAUCGAUCAACCUUCAGGAAUGUCAUCAGAAAUCACCGCCAACUCCGCAAUGAUCCAUAAGAAAAUGUUGACAUAGUGCGGGUACUCUUCCCUGCACAGUUCAGCAAGGUGCCUUCCUGUACAGAACUCAACAAAAGCAUGGACAACAUAAGAUGAUAAGGUGAUGAUGCAUGAUUAGCAUGCAAAGAGCAAGGUUAAUGGUUAAGUGAAAUAUACCUGUUUUCACUCCAAGGUUGGCAGCUAAUGUUUGGAUCAGAAGUGCAAAGACCAUCCCAACUAAGAUGACCCACAGAAGCUGUUCAUUGUAAAAUGUAAAUUGAUGUUACCAGAAGAAGCAUUUUAUAUAAAGAGGAGGCAGGAAAAACGAAAUAGUUAAUUUUGUUUUUCUCCUACUUUUCUGUUUCUUGAUUGAAUUUGUCUUCUUUAAAUAUUAGGAAAGAAACAAAUUAUUGACCACCAUUUACUAGGCAUGGGAGACUUUGUUUGAUUUCGUGUACUACUGCUACUAUUAUAUCAUAUAUAUAAGGUUCAUGUCAUGAUAGAGUCAUCUCAAGUCAAUGAUUGAUAUUCCAACGUUCUUAUAUGUGUACUCCCCAAAAUAAUCCAAUUUUCUUUCUUCAAAUAAGACAUUGUUGCUUAUGCUAGUUAACGGGGAGUCCUUUUGGUACAGUCCUUAGGAUAGACUUAAGUUUAAACUUUGAUUAUUUAGGCCUUUAAGGAAACAUAUUUCAAUAUUCUGUAAAGGCCACACCCUCAGUGGAAGGUUUAGAAUUCUUCUUGUUCAGCUAUGAAAUCAGUGCAAGAAAAUCUCAAAAUAUUAUUUAUAUUUGGAAUUUUAAAGAUAUUUCAAGUCAAAACAUCCAGGAAUACCUCUAAAAUGUUUAAGAGUCUGUUUUGUUCAGAUUUGAUGCCCAAAUAAGUGUUUUCCUGACGCUUAUACUAAGUAGGUUCUUUGUAAUAGUUAACAAUUUUCAAAGGCCAAACCAGGCAAUUUUCCAACUAAUAAAUGGUUCCAAGAUAGUCUUUCAAUCAUUUAUUCCAAGAUUGGGAGCCUUUCACCAGGUCUUUAUUUGAUUAACCUUGGUUACAUUCACCCUUUCCAUGCGCAGGCAAAAAUCUAUGACACAUGGUUAAUUAGUUCGUAAAAGUAGUUCAGAUCCAAGACGAAGAGGCAAGAACUAUGCAGUGUACCUCAUACUUGAAGUCAGCUCCAGCUUGCAUGUCAGUUUCCACUGUCAAAUCAUGUUUCAGAAAAAAGCUAUACCACCUCAACCUCUUCUUUUUCUUUUUUUCUUAAUGAGCGUAUCAAAACAAUAUGAAGCUCUAGGCAAAAGAUAGGAGCUUACAGUUGCUAGGAUCUAGGAAGCCAAUGGCCACCAGAGCUCCAGGCCCAACAUGAGCCAAGAAUUUCCUCCAUCUUGGCUGUUCCACCCAGCAAAAAGUAAGCAUAGGAUUGAAACAAGCACUAGCUUAUUGUGGCAUUAGAACUCCAUGAAUGCGCAAAAUGUAGUCGCUUACCUGCACCCGAAACUGCCCAUCUUUUUCACUGUCAAUAGUCUUUUCUUUGUACUCAUCAGUCUCACUAACACUCUGCACCACACCUCCAUGGAGAGUUUCUCGUCCAACCUCUCUCAUCUCACCAGUCCCUUCCAUAUUCUAUGUUGCUAAUGCACCUUGUCUGGAAGAUAUGAAAAAGUAUGUCUUGCUCUAGUUAAGAGCCACAUACAUCCUUUGUAUUUUAUAGACCCAGAGACCAGUUGACGACUGUCCCAUACAGAAACCAAAACUUCAAGUACAGUACAAGAGCAGAGUGACUAGCUAUCAUGAUGGUUCCUGUUGAUUCCUCGCUUAUUAGAUGCCUUUCAGAUCUGCUACUCUUGUUGAUUGCAGUAACAACUGAGUCUGCAAUAUUAAAAUGGAAAUUCUAAUCACUUUAUUUUCAGUAUUAACCACCUCAAUCUAGAAUGUUUAAGCUGCUGAAAAAUAGCACUUUUAGUCACAUUUCAACAGCCCCCGCCGCACUAUAAGUUGUUUAGUCCACUGCUACAACUAAAUGAGAUGCAAAUAUUUUUCAUCGGACAAAUAAGUCAUCACAAAUUCUGGUAAACUUGGGCAAACAAAUGCCCAGUGGCAUGAGGGGCCCAAGGCUAACUGCAGCAUAACACAAUCACAAUUACAAGCUGACUACCACGCAUAAGAAUUCAAAGCUGCAUUACCCAAACACCUAGACGUAAAUUCAGCAUGACCAUCGAUGUUGUCAUCCGUCAAACCUGAGGAUCUACCCAAUAGGAUUUUUUAAAUUAGAAGGGAUUUCCUUAUCUCCCAUACACAGCCACAUGGGUCGUAUGGGUCUUCGCUCCUAGAUAUUUUUUGGCCCUUAUACAAAGUUUGAUAUGUUCCUUUACAGCUAAACACCUAGGCUUAGGAAACACCAACGUCUCUACCUAAGAUACAAUAAAAUACAUUUGAUAAAUUGUUAAGAACAUUAAUGCCGCCGAUGUACCUUUGCUUGGCUGUUGCUUUCCGAUUAUUUUGGAGCCUUUCGGGCAGCCAUUUUUCGGUGAAGGCAACCUUAAGCAGCUCAGACCUGGUGCAGUCCACAUCUCUGUAUUCUAUUGUAGCUAUUCAGAUGAUAAGACUUAAAAAAUAAGCAACAGAUGAAAGGACAAUAAGCGUACAGUCAGAUUGUACUUAAAAAACCUCAAACCUACUCUCCAUUGGAAUCCAUAUUCUACUCACCAAAUUGGAACUAGCAGAGAAGAGUGUGAUGUGACCACCACCUCAUGGAGGAUGAGGUGCCCCUCCAUGCACCGAAUGGUUAGCUUGCUAACGAGUUGAUACGCAGGCGUGCGAAAAUUUAUAUUGUCGGCCAUGGCUUCAUUUGGUCGAAUGUGGAAGUCAAGAACUGUGGAUUUAUGGCAGUGGACAGAAGAACAAUGACGGGAAGUGGGAACUAGACUUGGGAACGGGGAAUUUAAAAUGCUAUUAAAAUUUUAAAUUAAAAUUGGGAAUUGCAUUUUAAAAUUUAAAUUGCAAAUCGACUUAGGUUUUCAGUAGUACUAAAAUCCCAGAGGCACAGGACGAUUUGGAGUGACUAGCAGUGAUCAAAUUAUUGGCCACGAAUCAACCAGAAAGCUCAUAAACCCCUACUACCUAAUAAUUUCACAGGACAGUAAAACACACGAGUAGCUCACCAUCGCCGAGGGAGAGAGGCGCGGGCGGCUCCUCGCCGGGGGGCUGCGGCGACGACGGGGACGACGAGCGCGAGGCGGACCUCGACAUGGUCCCCCGCGGCGCGGCGCUCGGGAGGGGCCGCGGGGUCGACGAGCACCCUCGGGACGGGGACCCUGUGGGGGACGGGUUCCCCGGCGAGCGAGAAGGAGAGGAGGAGGAGCGAGUCGUCGAGGCGGAGGUCGGCGGCGGAGAGCUCUGGGCGGAAGAGGUAGAGGCGUCGUCGCCGGCAACGGCGGCCAUUUCGGUCGCGAAGGUCCAGGCGGAGGAGUUUGAAGUCAGGCCGAGCUUUAAUAAGAGAAGCCCAGCCCACUCUACAUAAUAAAAGAAGCCCAGCCCACUACCUAAUGAAACGAGCCCAGCCAAUAAAAUAAAAGAAGCUCAGCCCACUACAUAAUGAAACGAGCCCAGCCAAUAAAAUAAAAGAAGCCCAGCCCACUCUACAUAAUGAAGCGAGCCCAGCCAAUAAAAUAAAAGAAGCCUAGCCCACUAAUAAUAAUAAUUGUUUAACAAGCGUCAGACGUGUUGGUUACGUACGCGGACUCGUGGAGUACUACACAUAUGUGUGCAGGUGCAGCACAUUGCGACCCCGACCGCAACCCAAUUAGGCGCGGCCGCGAUGAACGACGACGUGGUGGCUGAGAUCCUCUUGCGGUUGCCGGCGAAGAGCGUCCUCCGGUGCCGCGCCGUCUGCCGGAGCUGGCGCCGCAUCACCACCGCCGACUACUUCGUCGCCGCCCACUCCCGCCGCCGGCCGCUGCAGCUCCUCGGCUACACGGGGCCCAACGACGAGUCGCUGCGCGACGACGAAUUCUUGGUCACCUCCGCCCCGGUCACCGCCGUCCCAGCCGUCUACGACGGGACGACACGGAGUGCCGGCGAUUUCUGCGGCGCAACGUGCGCCUGUGCCUCCGUGGAUCCUGCGACGGGCUCCUGCUGUUCGAGCAGGUGAACGCCGAGACCAUGCUCAUCUGCAACCCGGCGACACGGCAGCUCGUCAAUCUGCCGCCGGUGAGCACUGGCGGCGUCGUCGUCGACCGGAACGACCUCCGGCUCCACUCUUCCGCCUUCUACUUCCACCGGCCGUCCGGCGAGUACCGCGUGCUGUGCUACCGGAAGGGCACCAACUACAUCCUCUCCACCGGCUCCGGCGAGGCGCGGCGGCUCGGCCCCGUCCCCGACCAGCAACGCAGGACUUGCUCCUUCUCCGCCGUGACCGUCGGCAAGACGGUCGGCGAGAGCGUGUACUGGGACCGCCGUGAGGUCGACGAUCGGAGCCGGAUAAUGGCGUUCGACACGGUGUCGGAGAGGUUCCGGGCGGUCGCGCCGCCGCCGGUGGAGCAUGCCGACGAAGGCCCGCUGCUGGACAUGCAUGGACGGCACGCUCGCCGUGGCGGCGAUGCCGGCGGAGCCGUACCUGGACGUGUGGGCCAGAGACGGCGGCGGCGGCGAGAGGUGGGUGCGGCGCCUCCGGGUGGAGCUGCCGGCGGGAUAUUAUUCCAAGGAGUUGAAGCCUCGGGGGCUUGGUAGAGCUAUCUUGGACGACGCGGGUCUACUGCUUGUCACCUUGUCCUGCAGAUGGGGCUUGGUGUACGACACCAAGGAGAAGAGGAUGCUCAGCUGCUCUCAUCGUAGCAGAAGCAAUCCGUGGAAUGCAGCUUACCGGGAGAGCCUCAUCACGGUGAAACCUUGCACACCCCCGCUCCCGCUAAACUCUGAGCCAUGGUUAAAUUUCUACUAGUGGUUGCAGUGAUAUGAGUAGCGCCCCAAUAUCUCAAGUUCAAAUUUUUAUAGGAGCGAAUUUCAGAUUGGAUUAUUUAAGAGCUAAGUUCCUAAUUUAAAAAGGCUGCAUAUAUAGUUGGAUGUAAAGGCUAGAUAAAAAAACCCUACUAACAAAAAUUACUGUCCACGAGCAUACUGUCGACACAUCGGUGACGGAGCCGCCGGUGAGGAAGUCGGCGUCGGGGGAGGAGAGUACGCAGGGGCCUCUCCGGUGAGAUGCCAACGUCUCCAUGGCGGAUACCACCUUGCUCGUGUCGUGACUCAUGAGGGUUUUGUUUUUGUUUUUUUUCCUUUUUUGUUCUUUUUUUUUUUACCGUGGGGUUUUGGGGGCUAAAGAAGAAGAUGGUUACGUGUAUGUACAGCUGGGUCCAGUUCUAAAAAAAAUACAGCUGGGUCCCCGGGUCCACCGGCAGUGAAACAAUUCCGGUGGACCAAGUCUAUGGCAAAGCUAGCCGUGUGGCAUAGGGCCCACGAAUUAGUAGCUGGGUUCACGUGGACCAGCAACAGUAACCCAACUAGAGUUAUAUCUCUUGAACAGAGGCACAAGCGAGAAAAUUGCACAUCUACCAUUCCAUAAGAAUGGCUUCGCUAGAAUACCAUUAUGAAAAUGGGCUUCGCUAGAAUACCAUCCUCAAUCAGAGUGUCUUCGCCAAAAUGCCAUCCUGGACGGAAAUGCCCCUGGCUCUUCUUUUUCCUCCAUCCCGUGCGUGAAGAGCUCGCCGGCGACCAUGGCCAGCUCCACCGCCGCGCCACCGAUGCUGCCUUGCCGACUGCGAUUGGGGUGUUGCUCUCCCUGCCAUCCCCGCCAGUGCCGACGGCGGGCGCGGGCUCCAGCGGAGGGCUGCACGGUGGCGGCAGGUGCGAUCGACGGCGGCAAGCGCGGGCUCCGGUGGAGGGCUGGUCGAUGGCGGCAGGCGCGGUUGACGGCAGCGGGCGUGGGCUCCAGCGGAGGGCUGCGCGGUGGCGACGAGGAGGCGGCGGCCAGGAGCGGCGCCACCGGCUCCCCGUGCAUGCGCGUCAGCCGGAUCCUCGCCGUCGCUGCCGGAGUCCUUCCGUGAUGACCUCAGCUGCACGAGCACACCACUCUACCGUCGGCAAGGCGGCAUCGGUGGCACGGAGGUGUAGCUGGCCAUGGUCGCUGGCGAGCUCUUCACGCGUGGGAUGGAGGAAGAAGAAGAGCCAGGGGCAUUUUCAUCCAGGAUGGCAUUUUGGCAAAGACACUCUGGUUGAGGAUGGUAUUCCAACGAAGCCUGUUUUCAUAAUAGUAUUCUAGCGAAGCCAUUCUUAUGGGAUGGUAGAUAUGCAAUUUUCUCGGCACAAGUUGAAUAACCUAACCUAAGGCUAUUGCUUCUGUAGAGGUUAGAACAUUUCAUCACACUUUUCUAAACCUCUAUGAUCAAGCAGAACCAUAAUCCCAGAAGGAAGAUGCCCCCAACUUAAAACCAAGAGAAUAUGAAAAUGCAAGGCACGUUUGAGGUAAUUUGCACAGAUCAUAUGAACAUAAUCAGUUGCAUCGAGGCACAUGAAUCCGUUGCAUACAGAUGUAAGAAGAAACUGACAACUUAUACAGUAUGCCAACAGACACCCAUUCCAAACUUAUGCAAAGACAAGAGACGUGCAAAUCGAUUCGUCAUGAAUCAUGAUUCUUACAUAGGUAAAAAAAAUGGAAUGCGAUGGUUUCACUGCUACUAAAUGCUAAGUACUGUGUGAAGUAGAUUGCCAGAUGGUUGAACCACCUACCACCGGAAAUAUACUGAACCGAAUUCACUGGUAGCUGGGUCUACCGUUACUCCAUUUUGAUGUCACACUGUCUUUUGACAGCAGAAGAUAAGCUCAAUGUCUUGCAGUUUAUCGAGAUGGUCAAUGUGUUCACUGAAAGAACAAUAAACUGUGCAUGGAAAGGUAUUAGGACAUUGGGACAUGAUCACAUGAUCUAAGUUUAUCAAAUUUUCAAGUCAAUGCUCUGGAGACGAGAGGAACAUUCUCUAGAGAGAAAAGCAACAAAGUGGAACUUUAUCCCUACCUGAGCUUAGGCUUCCAAUAAAUUCAUCUAUUUGGUGCCUCAUCAUGUACAACUCUUCAGCCCUACAUUUGGAUGAUCACUCCUCUAUUAUCCUGCGUGCUGGGAAAAGCAGAAGUUCAAAAUGGUGGCAGAAUAAGAGUAAAUAAACAAUGUAUACUCAUUUGCACACAACAGACUUGCCCAAGUGCAACAGUUGCCAAUGAAGCUGGCCAAAAUUGAUAUCGAACUAUGAUUUAGACAAAGUAUGACACUGUGCAAAUAAUCGAAUGUACUAACGUUGGGUUUCCCCAGAGGCGGCGCAGAUGAAGGUCCCAAUCUAGCACAAAUCAAUGGGAUGUGCAGCUGUGCACAACAUUCAUCAUCAACUGUCGCUUCAGUUCACAUCGAAUCCCUAUACAAAAAUAAGCAAGAACGAUUAGUUCAGCAUUCAGAAAAACUUACAUUAAGUUGUAUGAAUCAAGCUGUAUUGCAUAUAUAUUGUUGCAAACAUAGUUUCGAACGUCUCAGAAUAGUAUAGAGCUUUAAAAUCAGAUCAAUUGCAUUUGGGCCCAAACCAGUAAAACUUACCUAUGUAUAGCUUAACACCCAUUCACAGGGAAUCUGAAAGUUUAGAAUAGAGUAUUAAAAACCCCACAAUAUAACUGAACGUUGUUGUUUUAAUGGCAAAAGAAAACAGGGAUUGCUCUAGUUUCAAAAGCUGCAAUUCAUUGUAGUACACCGACAUCUGAAUGCCCAGUUUAAAGGUAGAUUUGUUUUUUCUUAUGCUGGAUUGUAUGAAUUCGACAUAAUUUAUAUAAAGAAUUAUCAUUCAUUUGCCAAUCAUAACUAUUAUACUGUUAGUCCAAACUCCAAAGAAGAGUAAAUAUAACAGCACAAUGCACUGAACAUGUGAGAUGUUGAGCGCAACAAUAGUGUGGCAAACACAUGCUGCUCAUGUACUUAAUUGCAAAACUUACCAGAUAUAGGGUUAGAUCCUUUGACAUGUCUUUCUUGACAUAAUUGCUUUAAUCAUAACUCUUUCUGAAAGGUAGCCUAAAAUAGCAACACUGCACAGCAAAACAAAAAAAAAACCUAUUAUAUGCAAAAAUCUACUAUAUAGUAGUGCUGUCAUGUAACGAUGAUCUUAAAGUGCCAACAUACAUGAUAUUUAGUGGGUUGUAGAACAAAAGAAGUGCUUGGACAGUAUGAACCUCAGACAGGUAAUCUAGCGCAUGUGUUAACAUAUCAGUGGAUCUUUCGAUGAAUAGAGAGUACAACAUUCAACCAAAGAGUGGUUAUGAGUUAUCAAUGAAGAUGAAAUGAAAUUUGUUGCCUUAUUAUACUCACCUUUCAUAUGUUGCGAUCUACUUAUAUGUUAACCAUCCAUAUUGAAGCUUACAACAUAUGUGCUUUCAAGUUGUAUUAGCUAGUUACAAGCAAGUUCUAAAACUUAUUAUCAUUCAUAAGCUUCUACUGUCUGCAUGUAAUCUAGGGUAAAGAGAAACUUACUCAGCCAGUGUUUUCUAGUACAUAAAUGUCAUCAUUCUGCUGCUGCUUAUUCUCAUAAACGUUGCCUCUUUGACCCCAUCCUGUCUUCACUCUCUUGGUGAUUUUCAUGACUGUGCGAGCACUGUCAUCUCUGUUGAAUCAGCAACAAAAUCAAUCCGUUGCAGCUCAAGUUCGACACACAAAGGUAGAAAGUGCAGACCUAUUUUUCUAGACAGGAUAAAUUUCAUUUCUAGGUUCUGAGUACAUAUGCUUUAUAUACUAAAUCAGUUAUAAUGCUUUGUUGCUAGUCUAACCAAUGCAAAAACUUGCACAAGAAAAUAGACUAAAGAAAAUGUCACAAACACAUCAGAACUAAAUUUGUCAUCACAAUACCUGUGCAAAAGAGCAUGCCAAUCACUUUCAGCAUGCUUGUCCUGUCCAUGCUUCUGACUUCUAGGCUUAAAUUCGCCAGAAGGAGCUGCAAGACCAUUAUCACGCUCUGCCAUUUCCAUCAUUUUUUGUGAGAGCAUAUCAACAUGUUGCUUCUUUCCCCUUUCACUCAAUGCAUCAAUCACUGGCAUGAAUGCUGCUGGAUCAAAUGAAUAUCCUUUAACCAUUAACAGCUUGAGUAACCUAUGUCCAUGAUCCACCUCAUCAACUUUGCAGAGUCCCUCAAUAAUCUGCUUAUAUGGGAAUCUAUGGAUAGAGAUCCUUAAUUCAAGCACUGUUUCUAGAAUAUUCAUGGCUUCCAACCAUCUACCAUAAGUAGAUAACUGGGUGCACAUUAAACUAUAGAGCACUUCCUUCUGACCACAUGUACUCAGAGAAGCAUCAAAUACUCUCUGAGCUGCAGAGAAAUCUGAAGUUUUGCAGAAAGCCUUAAUCAACAACUCAAAAGAAGUUAUAUUAGGAACAAUUUCAUUCUGUAACAUUUCAUCUAAAAGAGGCAUGGCCUUGUUCACCAUUCCCCGUUCACAAAAUGACUUUAUCAGGCUAUUAUAGGUCAUGACAUUGGGACAAAUCCCCUUCCCCUUCAUUUCACUAAUCAAUUUAAGGAUUUCAUCUGAAUUGUGUUUUUCCCGAAAUCCCCAUAUCAACAAGUUGUAUGUCCUUGUGCUUGGCUUGCAACCUUUCUUUUCCAUGUCCCUCAGGACCUUAACAGCCAGAGAAGUCUUCCCAUGCUUGCAAUACCCAUGAAUAAAGGUAUCAUAUAGAACCGAAUCAGGAGAGAUAUCUUUGCCUAUCAUCUCAAGCAAUUUCUUCUUUGCUUCAUCAAACCUGCCCUCUUUGCACAAUGCACUCACCAGUGUAGAAUAAGUGAUUCGGUCAGGAAGACAUCUUUUGCUGCUGGAAGAAUCAGUAAGUAAACUUAGGAAUGAAUAACCUAAUCUGCCAAGAGCCAAACUACCUUCGUUCCACAUGCCAUCGACAAUGUCCAUGGCCAUAUCCAAUUUGUUGUUUCUACAUAGUCCAUCAAUAAUGAUAUUGCAGCUUGCUGUAUCCAAGCUGUAUCCUUUCUCACUCAUCCUCUCUAACAAUCGUUCUGCCUCUGUAAUCCUACCAGCUUUCCACAAACUUUGCAGCAGAACAUUGUAAGUAAAUGAAUUCGGGGCACACCCCUUCUGUGCCAUCUCAUCAAGAAUCCUAUUGGCUGCAGCAGCAUUUCCCUCUGAGCAAUAAGCGUGGAGCAAACUAGUAUAGGUCACAACAUCUGGUGUCAUGACACCACUCUUCACAAAAUCCUCCACUUUCCUCACAUCAAACGCUUUGCCCUCCUUGCACAACCCAUCCACAAUAAUAUUGUAGGUGUAGCUAUUAGGUUGAACACCCUCAUGCGCCAUCUCCCUCAGCAGCUCCUGUGCUUCCCCAACCAUUCCAUUCCUCACCAGCCCUGACAACCAACGGUUGUAACUCUCAACCCGCCUCAAGAAACCACCGCACCUCAUAAUAUCCACCAGGACUCUUGCUUCAUCCACCAUACCAGCCUCACAGAACCCACUCAGCAUCACGUCAAACGUCACCUGGUCAGGCCUCGGCAGACCUCUCUCCCAUUUUUCCUGCAUGUCGUUGAAUAUCCUGUAUGCAUCUAGCACCCGCCCAGCUUUGCAGAGUGCAGAGAUCCUCGCAUUGAAUGUGACCACAUUUGGAGCAAGACCCUCAUCUCUCAUGCGCUCAACUAGCCUCUCAGCCUCAUCCACCUGGCCCUCGCGGCAGAACCCCGCGACUACUGUGUUGCAUACCACCAAAUUCAUCGUUGGCAUUGAAUCGAGCACCCCAAGCGCGUCCAUACUCCUCCCCGCACGGCAGUACCCACGCGCCAGGAUCCCGAAGCUGAACUCGUUCCUUUCCGGCAUUGCGUCGAACACCCUGCGGGCGAGCUCCAUCCGGCCAGCGGCACAGAGCGCCUGGAGCAGGAUGUUGCGCGUGAAGACGUCCGGGGCGGCGCCGGACAAGAGGAGAUCCUUGUAGAGCGACUCGACGAGGUCGAAUCGGGCCUCCUGGAGCGCGGCGAGGAGCAGGCGGUUGUAGACGGGGGUGGGCGGCGGCGGCGCGGAGGGGAGCGCGCAGAGGGAGCGGAACGCGGAGAGGGAGAACCCGAGCGGGAGGCGCAGCGGCGACGAUGAGGAGGAGAGGAGCGCGAGGAGGUGCGGCGCGGGGUCCGGGAGGGAGAGGAGGUGGCGGAGGAGGCUCGGGAGGAGGGCGGCGUCGUGGGCGGCGGCGGCGGCGAGGAUGCGGGCGAGGAAUGAGGUGGAGUGCGGCGACGGCGGGGACGCGGCGGAGGUGAGGUGGAGGAAGAGGCGGAGCGCGACGGCGGGGGAGGCGGCGUUGCGGCGGAGGAGGGCGAGGAGGUGGUUGGCGGCGGUGGGGGAGGUGGACAUGGGAAGGUGGCGGCCGCGGGGCGACGGCGGCGGAGAGGGUUUAAACCGGCCCGGGCCGACUGGCCGGUGGGGUACACGUCUGGUCAACGGCCCAGUCCACUGACACUGACUGGUGGGCCCGGCCAUGUUACAUUUUUUAUGUUACAUUUUUUGUGUCCGUAUUUCCACUUGCUGCUUAGAGCAGAUACUACAGAUUUGUAGCCAGCUAUAGCACGGACUCCAAGACACAAUGUGUGUAUGAUAAGUGGGACUAGAUGUUAAUAGUGUAGUACGUAACUAUUGUAUGAAUUGGCUAUUAAGUUGACUAUAGAUGAUUUAUAGCUAGUAGUUGGCUAUACUAUUAAACUUGCUCUUGGUAUACUCCGUACCUUUUUUUUUCUGAAAUUUGCGCUUAAUUAGUUCGGUGUUCUGGGUUCCUAACCCUGCCUCGUUUUCCGAACACACGUUUUUAAACUAUUAAACGGUGUGCUUUUUUAAACAAAUCUAUAAAAAGUUGCUUAAAAUAAUCAAAUUAAUAUAUUUUUUAAAAAAAAAUAGCUAAUACUUAAUUAAUCACAGACUAUUUUAGUUCAAGCUUACUCCACUCCAAACAUUUUGAAACAGGGUGAAUAUACAGGAAUAAAUUUGUUAUUUCACGCGGCUGUGAAAUUGUAAGUUGGAAACAGCAGACGUUACAGAGUAUUUCACGUUACAUGAAGCAGUGCAGCACAAACCACUGCAGAUUUACUCAACAUGAGAUCAUUGCCAGGCUAUAGAUAAAGAGAGAAAAAAAAACAUAACCUAACACACAACGCUGACUGAGGUAAAGAUCAGUAAAAUGAAAAAGAAAAGAAAAAAGAAGAAGCAAGAAACUAAUUCCAGUUGUGAGAAGAGAUCAGAAGCAAGAAACAUUCUCGGUUCUCAUGACCAGGUUGCAAGUCGAGUAGAUGGAAGCGGCAGCAGCUUGCACUGCCCACUCGCUCUCAGGAGUCUCCGAGUUCUUCAGUUUCCUGAAAGACAUCGUAGUAGUAGUAUUUCAGUAAGAUAUAUCACGCAUAAAGUGAAAUGACUUGGAAACUACUCCCUCCGUCCUAAAAUAUAAGCAUUUUUAGCUAUGAAUCUGGACAGAUUCAUAGCUAAAAAUACUUAUAUUUUGGGACGGAGGGAGUAAGACAUUUAGUUGCUAUAUAUUUGAGUACUUUGUUCAACUAAGUCUCAUCUAACAGAAAAGGGUGGAUCGAAUCGAAUACGUUGAGAGGUGAUGAUGAGCUAACCAUAAUUCAGCCAUUGGUCCUACUAAUGGAGCCUCGCAAGCCAUGUAUCUGAGCCCUUUCUCACAAUUCAUUUGCAUUUCUUGCACUUCCUUCAACCGAUUCUCCUGCAACAGUAAUUUAGCACGGUGUCAGUAGUGGAACACUGCUUACCAGAAUGGAUGUGCAAUUGCGCAUGCACAUAUGCUUUUGUCAUAAAAGGCGAUAUUGCGAGAAUAUGCUAGUUUUGUGCACCUAUAAUGAACACUAUUAUGAAAAAAACUCACCAGAUGCAUCCCCUCCUCCUGAAGUGUUCUGUCCAUCUGAAGAAAAAGAGACCGCCAUCGUGCCACAUGCGCUUCUGGAACUGUUUUUCCAGUAGAUCCACCAUCAGAAGAAUGUACAACGGAUGGUUCGUUCUCUUGGUUAUAUGAAAAUUCUGUUGAUAUUAGGUAGGGCAGUUCAGUCUGAAGGGCAUUCCUGACUCUCUUCUUGCUGCGCUUCAAAGCUUCAAGAAUAAAGAAAGCAUAUUAAGCAGAAUGUAUGGGUUACAGCUUUGAAUUAUGUUUCAAACUCAAGAAUUAGUACCAGCAAGGCGCCCUCUGAUGUCCUGCUGUAGUAGCUCCAACCACUGAGAAGCAACAUUGGCCGCUGAUCAUCAAAAAGGCAAGGCAACUGUCAGGUAUAGAUAAUUCUACAAACAGUGAACAAUGCAGUUCUGGUGAGAGUGUAUGAUUGACGAAAUAAGAGAUCAAGUAUACCUUUUACUGAUAACACAGUCAUGUAAUCAUGAUUAGAUGCAAAAUCAUCGGCUGAUGUACUGCAGGUCCUGUCUGAAGCCAUAGUGACUGCUGAUGAGAGUUGCAGUUUCAGAUCAUCACCGUCCUCUGGAAGGAAUUGUGAAGCAGUAGGCAACCCUUGGUGAAACGGCAUGUUGCUACCUUUCAUCAAGAAGUGGCAAUUCAUCAUAUUACCCCCAUAUCUCUGGUCCUGAGCCUUCUCACUAAAUUCUCUCCCUCUUUCGCCUGUUUGACUAGCAUGAACUGCCUGGUUCUCUUUCUCAAGAUUCUCAGAGUGCACCAUAGCCUUUAUUAUGGAGUAAACUUGCUUGCUGUUUCUCACAUGGUUAAUGAUUCCAGGGUUUAGCCCAGAUAAUAGGCCACUCGGAGCAGCAACCUUCAUGAACUUGUUUGUCUGUUCCUUCUGAGCAAAAGUGUUCCUUUUGGAUUCAUCGUCUCUUUUCCUUUUGAUGGGUCGACCGCGCGGCCUAGGACCCACUGCAGUUCCUUGAGAUGAAGAAAGGAACCCAUUCUGCUUCAUUUCUCUCCACUUCCUGUGUGACUCACUCUCUCCUACAGCCCCAGUUGUGCUACCACACUCUGACGGAUCACUAACUUUCGUCUGCCCCAACUUCUUGUAAGGAAAGAAGGGAUUAAGUUCUGCAGCAUUGGAAGAAUCUACUAUAUUAAGAUCCAAUCCAAGAGGUGCACCAUUCAUUCUGUUCUCUACAUGUCUUACAUCAGGCUUAGGUUGCAAGUCUGUCCUGAUGUUUUCUUUAUCACACAAAUUGUUCACCUCUGCUGCAUCAGAAGAACGGCCCAAGGUGAGGCAGGCAGCCUCUGGCUGAAGAAAUGAACCAGUCUCAAGCAAUGAGGGCUCUCCAUCUUCACUUCUUGUUGCAACUUCAGCAGUAACUUGAGGUGUAUCUUUCUUGUCACAUGGAUGUAGACAAGAUUUUGCUCGAUCUGACGAAUCUGAAAUCCCCACUCUCAUAUCUACAUGAUAUAGAAUAAUUAGUAAGCAUUAGCAGUGCAAAGAUUAAGGGAAGUAACCAGUAACACGGUCAAUUAGGAUAAAUCAUGCCUUGGACAGUGUACAGUACAUAAUAGGAAUUCAGUGGUGUGAAUUGAGGCUAAGGAUGUGUACAGUACAUAAUAGGAAUCAGGAAUGCAUGGGUUUAUAGCCGUGUUUUUAAAAAAAAGUGUACAAGGCCCUGUACAAGGAUGCAUACAAGGAACGAGUGACCCAACCUUGUACCGCUUAAGCCGCAUAAGUUCUACAAGGUGGGGUGACCGCACGAAACCACAUACCGCUUUUCAAAACAUUGGUUUAUGGCAAUAGAAAAGAGUAACACUCACGAAUUAUUAACUUUGCAUGGCACAGAAAUCAAUUGUCAACAGCAGUUUCAUCCUGAAUUUAUCAUUUGCACAUUCUACACAUCCAGGAGUAAUCUUAUGUUGGUAGCGGUACAGAAAUAUGCUGAGUUUGUUAUGUCAAUUCGCUCCUCAACAGAAGCAAACAAGAAUUCUUAAUUACAGCUACAAGAAAGGCUAAUCGAAAAUUCGAUCUACUCAUACGCUUAGAUCUGUAGAGAAGCACCAUAAUCUACCGUCACAUGUCGAAAUUCUGUGCUGCCAGCGAAUGAAGUACUACUGCAUACAAAGAGUUCAAGAACAACUACCACCCAAGAAAGUAAAAAACUAGCAUUUCCAGAUCACCCCCGCGCCAAGAAUCAUCCAACCAGCACAGAUCAGGAACCAAGACGGCAAGAAAAGAAAAUCAAGAAGCGCCGAGAACCCCCCACCUCCCAAUCCGACCGCCGCCCGCGACCCGCACGACGCCUCCGCAGCCACCGCCCGACCCAAUUCCUGCAAGAACACACACCACAACGUCAAAUCCAGGCUCCCCAAAUCCAAAACCAAGAACCAACGACACCAACAUCCAAGACCACCCCCCCCCCACCCCACCUUCGUGGUCGUCGUCGGCGGCGGCGGCGGGGACGACGCGCCCGAUCCGGCGGGAUCCGAGGCCACACGCAGCCCCGCGGGGUCCAUCCGGGAGGCCGCGGCGGCGCGCCCGCGAAGGGGGAGGGAUCUUGGAGCUAGGGUUUGGGGGGGGGGGAGCGGGGCGGAGGGAAGCUUUGCGUGGAUUUGAAAUGGAGACGGGUGCGGAGGCGUGCUGUGUGGGGUGGGGUGGGGUUUUUAUGGUGUGCGGGUUUUUUUUGAAUUCGAGCGGAGGUGGGCGCGGUUUGGAUGGGGAUGGAUGGAUGGAUAAUGAGACAGAUGGACGGACGGAUGGGUGGAUGGAUCGCUAGCCUUUAAUCGCAGGAGCGGCCUUGCGGUUGCGGAUGAUAGGAGGGGAGCCCGCGGAUUUAUUUUCUUCUUCUUUUUUUCCCACCUUGGUGGUUUGAAGGUGAUUGGUUUGAAUUUUGGUUGUAUACACAGCUGUGGGUUUGAAUUUUGAAUGGUGGGCUACUGACCUUGUGUGACAUAUGGUGAACACGCUUCAAUUCUCUUGAUGGAGUAACGAGGGGAGGAACAUCAAAAGGACAAAAGGAACACAAGCCAUGCUAUAGGCUAUAGAAACUAGUACUAGACAAGAUGAUAAACAUUGCUUGAGAAUGUUCUAACAGGGCACUUGAGACGUAUUUUGUGUGUACAUGUUCUUUAGUGUGCACCUCCAAAGUCACAUGCCACAUAUAUGGUUGUAUGUCUAACAUAAACGCAAAAAGUUGCACAAGAGUGCAUACCGUCUAACAAGAUCAUUUGUGGGAUGGAAGAAGUAUAUUUUUAUAAUUUUGCUUAUGAGCAUUGCUACAUAUGCAAGCCUCAACACGAGAGAAUUCAUUAUAUGGCCCUAGGUUUAUCACAUGUCUACAAUUUACCACUGACUUGUCACGUUGUACAUUAUGCUAUCGACUUUUGCUUAACUUUUACGAUUUACCAUCGCUAUCUGGUUAGCCUCUGUUAGUAUUAUACAAUCUUAUCCAAAUGACCAAAAUACCCCUAGGAUAAAAACUUUCAAAAUUUGAACAAAAUUUUUGAAAUAUCAUAUUUUAAGUUUUUGCCAAAUUUUGGAUGUUUACAAUAUGAUAUUUUGGAAAAAAAUCCAAAUUUUGGAAGUUUUUGUCCUUGUGGUAUUUUGGUCAUUUAGACAAAAUUGUAUAACGGAGGCUAACCGGACAACGAUGGUAAAUCGUAGAAGUUAAGCAAAAGUCGAUGGCAUAUUGUAGAAUGUAACAAAGUCAGUGGUAAAUCGUAGACUUACGACAAACUCAAUUUUUUUUUGCGGGGACUUACGACAAACUCAAUGGCAUAUAUAUAAUAGAUUCUCUCUCUCUACAAAACUCUUAUAAACAAUAACCUUAGCUGUUUGAUUUAAGUAGAUAAAAGCUAUAGACAAUCUAGAUGUACUCACGAGUCACGACGUAAGAUGUAGUGUUUGUAAGAGUUUGGUAUGACACAAUUUAGGCCCUCUUUGUUUAGGCUUAGGCUUAUUGGCCUAGACUUUUAAGUCAGCUUAUUGGCUUAUAUGAUUUAUAAGCCGGUGGAUUUAAUGUCCUAAGUUUAGUAGUUGAGUCAUACAUCUACCUCACAUAAGCCAAAAAAGCUUCUCCAACCUAGCUUUUGGCUUAAUAGUGUUAGAGUGGCUUAUGGCUUUAAAAAGGCCAAACAGAAAAGCUGCUUGUUUGUUUAGGCUUAGACUUUUCGACUUAUAAGUUGGUUUAUAAGCCUAAACAAAGAGGGCCUUAAUAUGUAUAGACUUUUCCUUUGCGGAUUGACAAGGUAUUAGUCCAUACUCUCAUAUACACCCCAUAUUAAAACAUUAUAACUCAGGCAAAUAGGAUAGAGACCACUACCAAAAGUAAAAUUUUACAUCCUAAAAUAUGAUUCUUUCCGUCUCAUUUGAUACCAACCCUUCACUGAGGAUUUAUUUAGCAAAUGGGUUAUAAGAGGUGAGAUCGGGAUAGGAAAUAAGUGAAGGAACAAGAAAAUAAACCAACUGACUAUUUUGUUGUAUUAUAACUAUGGCUCGUUGUAUCUCCACUAGCUCCGACUCAUCUAGACGGUCGUUGUUGGAUGAAGGUCUCCAUCUUACGUUAUCAUGACUGAACUUAAGCAUUCAUCGACUUGUAUGCAGGGUUUUACGGUGCCAAUGCACACUUGAGGUAACACAAAGUGCCAUGUGUCGAUCAGAUUGUAAGUUAUGAAUAAUUUUUUCGUCACAAGUGCGGCGAUAUUUGGUACCAAACAAAAUGUAUGGCAUAUAAUAGUUAUAGUAAUCACUUUGGCUAACAAACUGCGGCAAUUCUAAGAUUUGAUGUGACAAUCUUUGCUACAAUCCGAACAAGCCUAAUAUUUUACAAAGAUAAUCCAUCGCAUAGCUAGAUCACAAGGAAAAAAGGCUAUCACGUGAACAUGUUCCAACCUAGUUCUGGCAACAGUUAGAGCACAUUUGGUUUUUCAGUUCGCAUUACGCAUCACUCUUCCGCGCCAUUCCAUCCAACAUUUUUAUGAGAUACAUGGGCCUCAUGGCCCAAAUAGGUGUUGUGUUUUUUCUCUUUAUUCUCAAACUUGCUUUUCUGUUUUCAAAUACAUAUGUAUAAAUUUCCAUGCAAUAGUUCUAUGUAGAAUAUUUCUAUGCUAAAAGUUUCUAUGUGUAGGUCCUAAUUGGUUACACAUAUUCUCUAAUAAGUCAAAACGACUUAUUAGAAAAUAAAAAUUAAUUUAUAGGUAAAAUUUUUUAUAUAUGUAUUCUUUGCGACUUAAAGCUAAUGUUAAAAAAACUACGUUGAAAAUAUCUUAAAAUCAAAUUCAAAAUUAAAUUUGAAAAUAUAAAUUUUGGCUUUAGCUUUGGCUUAUUAGGACAAUCAAUGGGGCUCGUAAACUUUCUAGAUCAACAUACUUUUCAAAACGUGGGGGCCUGAUUUCAAAUGAAUAUAUCCAAAACGAGGAAGGAAUGCCUAUUUCUAUCUCAUCUUCAUUCUAAGUUUAUCUGACACGAAAAAGGACCAUAGACACAUAUAUAGUUGACUCGCGCAACUUCAGUUCACGCAAACACAUGUUGAGAAGGCUAUUGGGCGAUCAGUCGCGCGCAUCCCUCCCCGUGCGACUGGACACGUGUCGCGCGUGGGGAGGGAGCGGCGGACGCGCCGCGCGAGAGUCCGACUUUUCCUUUUUUUUUUCCGUGUUUUCCGUUUCUGUUUGUUUGGCUUUUUUUUUUCCGUUUCUGUUCCGUUUGGUUUUUCCUUGUUCUUUCGGUUUCCCUUCUGUUUUUUUUCGGUUUUUUAAUGUAUGAAUACCAAGUUUUGUAUUCGUACAUAUGCAAAGUUUAUAUACACGUAUGCAAACUUUGUAUACGUGAUGCAAUUUCUUGUUUUUAUUUUUUAAUACGUAUGUAUAUAAAGUUUGUAUACAUCGUAUACAAAGUUUAUAUAUAUCCUAUAUAAACUUUGUAUACAUUGUAUAUAAACUUUGUAUAUGUGUAUAUAUUUUUUAUGCGUUAAAAAAUAUUCAUAAAUAUAUACACACACGUAUAUACAUAUGUAUAUACAUAUGUAUAUGUAGUAUAUACACAAGUAUAGUAGUAGAUACAGAGAAGAGACUAGAGGGGAGGCGACUGACCCCGCGCGCAUGGGGGCGCGUGGCUUAUCGUGUAUCAUUGUAUCAGCGCCCCCCAACACAUGUUAUUAAACCCAACCCGACACAAAACGCAUCGCGACAAAAUAAUUAUGACAUGAACAGUACUGAAUAUCAAUUGUAUUUUAUAAUUUUCUACUUACUGUUAAUAUUAGGAUUUUGACAAGAUAAAUGUUUUUAUUCGUUUUAAUAAGGCACAAAACUGUUUUGAGCACUUGUUUAAUCGCGUUUGAACUUUGACGUGUUAGUUUUAUGUUCCCAUUCCAUUCCACCAUGCGGUCCACGCCCCCUCGAUUCUCUCUGCUUUCCGCGCUGCUGCUGACCGACGACGGCCGCGCCCCUGUCCCGGUCUCCUCCUCGUCCCUCCUCCCCGCCUCUCCACUCUUCCAGAACAUCGCCACCGCCACCGCCGCCGCCGCCGCCGCUCGCCGGCCACGACCGCCCCCGGCCCAUCUACACCUCCGCCGGAUCUCGCAGCCGCGCUCCCCCCAUUGGAGGGAGAUCCGUUCCAGCGCGUGGGUAAGCAGCAGCUGCCUUCAACGGUUCAACCCAACCUGCGUGAUAGAUAGGUGGUGGGUGGUGUGACGCGGGGGGUGUUGCAGGUGAUUUGGUUCGAGAGCCCGCGUCGCACGCACCGAUCAGUUUGGGGGGAGGGGGGGGGGGGGGGUGGUGGUGUGUGAUUUGGUUGGAGAGGAGAGUAUAGCCUUGGGAGGGGAAUCGGAAUUGGGAUGUGGAAUCCCCUUGGAUUGGAUGAGGUGAUUUGAUGAUUUGGUACCAGGAUAUACUAGCUCGAGCACAUGUGCUGUUGGAAUUGGAUUCCCACCUAUUGGGUUUGGUUGCUGCUGGGUUGAGGGAGAGUAGCGUUAAUCAUUGGUCCCCGUGUAGUAUUCACUGCAGCGGUAUCAGUUAUUGCCCGUUGAUGCUCGUUGUUGAAUUCUUGAACAUUUCAAAGUUUUUUGAUGCAUCCAAUUGCUAAUUUCUAGAUUCUACUCAACCCAAUGCUGUUAACAGAGCCCGUAAAUCAGAGGAAUGUUGUAGGACAUGCAAGUGGUGCAGAAGUAACACAUACUCAUUUAUUAACGUAUUUUUCUACGAAUCACAUCAAUUUUGCUUAAAAGUUCGCCAAAGCACUAGCAGAAAGCAGCCCUAGUGACAGCACAUGAUCCUAUUACCAUAGCUUUUGGAGUAUAACUUAUCACCUUCCUUCCCCUGAUUGCUAACUGAAGAGGAGGGUACUAAUAUCCAUACUUCAAACCAUCAGGACGAAACCAAUUCUGCGCAACUUAGUAAUGUGGCUUGUACCUUUCUUUUGCGCAGAAAGAGAACUUUCAUUAAUCAUUAAUCAAUACCCAAAAGGAGUACAUUCAGCUACUAUUGUUAAUACAAGUGGCUUGUAUUUUAUACAGAGUAUAAACUGCUAUACCCUUUCAGCUAUAAAUUGUUAGUUAUUGUUAGGUUUGUUGGUCCUUUUGCCCCUGCAGGAUUUAAUUUCAACACAUGACUGGUGAAAUGUUUGCUUGAUGAUGUCCGGACAUGAUUUCAGUAUUGUUCAUAAUGCAGUUGGCAUCUCAUGCCACUCAAGCAGAUGAAGCAACAGAGCUUGCUUCCAGCUGUGAUUGUGCAGAAGUGCCAGCUUCACAGCAGAUAGUUUCUGAAUCAAGUACAGCAGGAAGCUCCACAGAGCAUCUAGUUUCAUGUGAAAUCAAGCCACUGGGUGUUGAUGAAGACAUUGAAACUAUUGAUGCUAACGAAGAAACCCACCUUGUCAUUCAAGACUGUCCACAAUGCCGGAUUUGCCUUGAUAAUGAAGGUCCAUUCUGUGACUUGAAGUAUCUUUCUUAUGGAGUGCCAUAAAGGCUUUCGAUUUUUUUUUUGAUAAUAUUCAUAUUUUUAUGUUGAGUCUACAUUUGAUCUGAUAUUUUUUCCAUAUCCACUACAAGCAGGUGAUGACUUGAUUGCACCUUGUCAUUGCAAGGGCACACAGAAAUACGUGCAUCGAUCCUGUCUUGAUAACUGGAGAUCAACAAAGGUGGAUUCAUGAACAUUUGCUCUUUAUGCUUCAUGUACCUAUAUUUACUGCCAUCGCAGAAUCCAGUUAAUCAUUAACCUAAUCCAGCUCUGACCUAGUUUCUAUGUUACAUUUCCACCAGGAAGGUUUUGCCUUUUCACAUUGCACUGAGUGUCGGGCUGCCUUCUUACUUCGUGCAAAUGUUCCUCCAGAUCGAUGGUGGUUGAGAUUGAAGUUUCAACUUCUGGUUGUUAGAGAUCACACGUUGAUUUUUUUUAUUGUACAACUGGUACGAGUUCCACACCUUCUGUAAUCUAAUUCAACAAACUGUUUUUUCUUUACUGAACCAAUACUGAAUACAUCUCAGUAGGAUUUCUCCAACUGUUUACCCUAAAAAAUGAACAUGCUACAAUACUGAACUCAAGCAUGACAUGGUUGCACCUUAUUCUGUUAAUGUAUAAAGCAGUAAUGAUUUUAUGGAUUUAUAUUGAUAUCACCAUUUCUUUGAAGAGAUGUGGUAGUUAGUUCACUGACUUCUUACUAAUACAUUGCCAUGAUUUCUGGCGUGAGAUCCAAAAGAUAAACGUUUUUGAAUAAAUGCACAAGAAAGAGGCCUGAAAAUGGUCACGAUGUGCUGCUGUAAGAUGCAUCUUUGUUUUUGUCUUACAAUCUUAUCCGUUUUCCUGCCUGAUAGGUUGUUGCUUUAUUGGGUAUGCUAGUAUACAGAUUUUAUGGAGAUGAACUACGAGAAAUGUUUGGUUAUGAAGAGCAUCCAUAUGCUUUUUAUGCAAUGGCAAGUAAGUUACUUUUUCAUAGUGAUAUCUGGAAAUGUCAUGAACUGCAUCUUAUCUAGAAAGCUCAUAGAGAACUGAAAAACUUAUCGUUUUCUUGUGUAGCAUCUGUUCAUGUUGAUCCAGUUCAUGACAUGUACUGUCAACAUGGCCUGGCAUUUAUGUCUCUAAAGAAAGUCACUCCAUUCUAUUACAUCUUUCAUUUCAUACUUAUAGCUACCAUUUAAAAAUAUGGUGUGGAACCAAAGUACAGUGCAAUUUAUGUAGAAUUGCUUUUAUGUAUUGUGAAGAUCAUCGCGCAGUUUAUAAUGGCAGCUAUAGCUUUGGGCCUUUGAGAUGAAAGAUAACAUAUACUACACUUAAUGUUGGGCGUCCAUGAUUAUCUAAGUGCUCUCUAUGUAAAUGGAAUCACGGAAGAUGCUUUUCAGAGGGAUUUGUUUCCAUGGUUCUUUUAGAAGACUGCACGAAUUGUAACAUAGUCAAAACAAAAGUCUAUGUGGUCAGAGGGAACUAAAAGCAACUGGCAGAUUAGAUGAGAACGCCGAUAGCACAUAUCUCCUUUGUUGGCAUUUAACUCAAUGCAUGUGAUUGCACAGGUCUUGAUGUACAUAUUUUUGCCCUGUGAAUGUUGUCUGUGUACAGGAAUAAGAACUAUAUCCUCUACUUCUACGUUAAAAACUUGUUGACAAAAUAAUUAACGUUUUAAAUGUUACUUAAAUUGCAGUAUUGGCUAUUGUUUUGGUUGGUUUGCUGUAUGGAUUCUUCAUAGCUAUAAUAUGUGGGCAGAGGAUCACAGAACGGCAUUACCAUGUUCUUGCAAAGCAAGAGUUAACCAAGGUUGGUUAAAGAACAUAAAGAUGGAAACACAAUUUUCAUUGACUGAUCUUUUCAUUUUCAAGAACUACACUGUGUCAUUGAAAUAUUAAUAGUAGUGCCAUCAACUGUUCAAUCUGUAUAUGCACAAAAACAUGCAGAUUUCUUCAUCUUUUUUUUUUUUACUUAUUCCAACCAUUACAUGACCUUAUAAGGUUGUGAACAGACUCUCUCAUCUCUAUUUGCGAAAACAAGGUUGGUUUGUUUUAGUGAAAUUAAAUAAAUAAGUUGUGGGUGUAUUAGUAAUAAGGGUGAAAAGACUGCCUAAUCAAUGAUUUAAUGGUAGACCAUGAUGGCCCCAGCAGGGAACACAAAAUGAGGUUUCUUAUGACAUAAUGUAGAUUCUUUCUUAGCUGACAGUUUUUUUAUGAUGCGAAAAGUGUUCUAUUUACAUUCUUCCCUUUUCCUUAUGGCCAGGGGUGUAGCCGAGAUUCUUCCAAGCCUAGGACUAGAGCAUUGCCUUUGUUAUAGCUUUUUUUGCCAUGUGGGACCUGAGCUCUAGUUGCCCCACACAUGGUUCCCUUCCUGCCUAUGGCAUAUUAUCUUCUUGUAUACCACAUAAAGCUUGUAUUUAAAGUUCUAUUCACACCUCACAGUAUUUGAUAUUCCUCUGAUGGCAGGAGUAUAUUGUAGAGGAUCUUGAAGGAACUGAUGGAGUUCCUGACCUUGAUCCUAAUCAUGUUACAGAGCUGAGGAUUCUGGGGCUAUAUUGAGUACUGGAGAUAUCAUCAAUUCAUCAGGUAGGAAAUUUAGCACUUGUGCUAUAAAAUGUCUGUUUAGAUCUUUUUAUGUGGUUGCUACUUCCUCAGAGAUCUCUCUUUGCAUCCUACAAAUGUAGCAGAGCUCUUGAUUAACAAUAGCCACUUAAAAUGAUAAAAUGUGGCAUCAAGCAUCUCACACAUCCAUAUUUUGCCCCAGACAUAUGUUUUUGGUCAUUUUCUACAGUUUUGUUUUGUACUAAUGUGCAAUGCAUGUGAUGCCAAAGUAUUUCUGGAUAAUAUUUUAUGAUCACUGAGGUUUUGCUACUGCGUAUGGUCAGUUGAAUGCCACAAAUAGUUCUUUCACUGUGAUAAGAUGAAGAAACUUGUACAGAAGAGCCCCGUUUUUUAAUCUUUUUUUUUUAACCUAGGAGUGCUUAUAGCUGACUUAUAUACUAGUGAUCCAAGAUGAAUCAUUGUAACUCAGUUAGAUCUUCCACAUUUUCUGAAAACAGUUGGAUUCAGUCCUUGAGAGUUGAUAAACCAUGCUUGAUGUGGCUUCUGAUGAACAGAUUCAGACACACCUCAAAAUCUUAGUUUUUUUUUGUUUCAUGGGAACAACACUUGGCUAAUUCAAGUUACAAUACAAAGAUUUCCCACCACAAGGGACGUACCAACUUGAUUUGAAUAUGCCAUGAGCCAUGAAGAGUGCAUACAUUUUGAUGGAGAAGCUGUAGAUAUAUAUAUUCAUAGCUUCACCUUCCUAUUGAGAUCCAAAACUAAAGUAACUGCAUUGCAAUAACCAAAUCCAUCAAUUGUUGUUGUGCUGGCAUAAAUCAGGCUAAUUUCUGAUUAAUCUUUUGUACUAUUUGCAAUGCUAUUACUUGGCUUAAGAAAGAGCAAAUAAAAAAUGUGAUUAAAAGACCUGAUGAGAUGAUGAGAAAACGGGAAAAAAUUAUAGGAGAAGAAAAACAAUGUAGUCGGAAGAAAAAAAAAACUGGAAGGAGAACAAGAGUGUGUGAAACAUUUUUGUCAAGCAGAAAUGUUUGCUGAAUGGAGGAACAAUUACAUGGAAGGUCUGUGGAUCAGCUAUUAUCUUUGGAGUAGUCCCUAGUGCCUUAUCUAAGGUUAUGCCCUCUAUUAUGAGAUUGCCUCGGGAACAAGUUUUUAAGCUCCCAUAAGGGUCGGCUCCUCUGUUCAUGAAAGACCUGCUGCCCUGCCCUGCUAGGCUGCUUGCGGGCCCAGUUUCAGGAUGUCAAGGAAGUUGGUGAACUGAUGAUAGGAAAGCAAAAGCCCUGUAAACUAUGGCCAUAGCCAUAACAUCCAAAGGUAGGUUUAUACUUUUGUUCCUUUAGCCGAACCUUAUCCAUGUCCUUAGUAUUAUUUUGUUACUGCCUUGAUUUUAUUCUAUCAAGUUUCUGCUGAAAAUUCCAAAGACGGAUAAAUCUUCAAUAUUCAUACCUUGUCACUGUUCCAGUAACAUGCGGGCACCCAACUUGGCCCAGCAACACCUGAUAAUUUGCUUGCCUUGUUGGACUAGCCCAGCAUAUCCGCUGCAGUGGUGCUAGAAUGUUCUAGCUAUGCUCAAUAGAGCAAAACCAUACCAACUUGCGUUAACCUUUUGGAUGAAGAACAUAAGCACCAUUGGUUAGCUGGUGUGCUGUAGAUAUACAUUGCAUGUUACAAUACACGAAAAACAGAUUUCUUGGAAAAUAAAUGUCCUUUUCUUACCUACCGUUGGGAGCAAUGUCAGAGACAAUCUCUUGGAAUUACAAAACUACUCCAGCACAUAAAGACUUUCUUUGAACUCACAAAUCAAGAGCUUGUCCUUGAGCUAUUUCAGCAGCACAUUUUAAAAUAAAAUAUUUUGUUUCCAUUGAGUUCUUGUGCUCUAAUUUGUAAAGCUGAAACAGUAGAGGAAUCGAUCACUGAUCAGUUUCUAUUGGAGCAGCUAUAAUUUCUGAUUGGAUAGCUUAGGAUAAAAUAAAUAAAUAGAAGGAGUUUCAGGAUGAAUUUGCAAGCCUGUUCUCAUCAGUUAUCUUCCCAGAACCAAACAUUCUGUUCCCAUUGCCCGCUACUUAAGCGAAGAAUAUAUUCUCCUAUGCAUAUAAAUUUGGUAGUCUUGCAGGCAUCUUUCUGAAAGUAGCAGAAUAUAUGGGUAGAGACUAGAGAGUACUGUUUUUUGUUAUAUUGACAUCCACUAAUAAAGCAUUUCUCUCUUAGCAAACAUUCUCUUGGCAUUUUUUUUUAAUCUUGAUUGCGUGUUCUUGAUCUUCUGUAAAUUCGUUUUACUUGCUUUCCUUUGUCAGUUUUGCCUGAUACAGUAAUACCAUCCUUCAUUUUUCCCCCUUUUUCAUGCUAUACAUUUUAGUUUUCUUAUCUGUUCUCCUCUGCUUUUGUUUACUUCAGUGAGCAAAACUGUCAAUAAACGAACCAUCAUUCUGCUGUAGUACUUGCUUCAAAAGAUUGAAUUUGCAUUUAUAUGUGGCAACACUUGCAUCACCUAUGACUAGUGUACAUUAAAUUUGGGCAAGUCAAGGCUGCACUUGUCUGUAAAUUUUGUCAAUGUGGGUUGCCAAGUUCUCUAUGCAUGUUAGUGUCUCUUGACAAUGGCUUGAAUCUGCUUCCCAUUUCCCCACUUUUCAAUUUUAUAUCCUGGCUUUGUCACUACCAGCCUAGACUACAUGGGUUGUGGAGUGGAGAUGAUUUGCCAAUUGUGAGCAUGUUUUUGCCGUAUCUUCUCCAGGUCACCUUUAGCUUGUUUCUUUGUUUUUCAGAAACACGACAAAUAUAACAAGAACACUAUUGAUUGAAGAAAAAGAAUGUUAGUGCCAUUUAUCAACCAGACAAAUGUUUGAUUAGCCACUAGUGAUUACUAACGGAAGUGCUUAACAAUGACCGCAAACUUUUGGAUGAUUCAAGAUCUAGGUAUCAUAAGUUCACAACAUCAUAUCAGGAUCAUGCCUUCAUUGAUUUAUGGAGGAAAUACGCCUUGGGUGAAUUACCUCCUCUGGGGACCAGGGUUCAAGACAAAGACUCUUCCCUUCUCUUGGGGAUAAAAAAGAGCUCGAUAGCUUGAAUUGUCAUCAUAUGGCCAGUGGGAUCGAUUUGGGAGUUCAAAAAACAAUUAGAACAUAAGAACAAUAUAACACAUAAAAAAGGGACAUGCACCUGAGUCCCUUAUCACUCGUAACUAUUUUCAGCUGUGCUCUGUCAUGGUCGGUGCAAUGAUUGUGUAGAGAAGGCCAUUUAUUGCUCUUGAGACACCGUGUUGAUGCAUCUGAACCAACAAUUCAUGAUGACAUACUGUUUCUCUGUUAUGCAACUCAAUAUGCUAUCACCCAGACAAUUGUGCAAGGUUGGGUGUAGUUGGUGAAGUUACUGAAAAUGUGUUGGGUGAUAGAAGUGGUACUUUGAGAAUCAGUUCAUGCCAUGUAUGUUUCCAUCAGAUUCAUCUCUAGUAGCCCUAAAUGUUCUUACCAUUUAAAUUCUUGCUGAAUCAUUAACAUCAAUUGCAAUGCCUAACCGCUGUGUUUAUUUCAUGUGUGUUACACUAGAAAACUGUAUCACAACAUGUAAUCAAAAGGAAUUUUGCUUUUGGAAAAAUGACUGUCAAUAGCAAUAUUCUUAGCACAUUUUGUUAAGUUAUAUGGUGAAUUUUACUUUUCUAUAUGUUUUUCAGCUAAAUGUCGAUGCUAAAAUGGUCAUAUGGGAAAAGCUCUGUUUAGAUACAAAUCCAUAAGGCUGAUGCUGCACGGACAUCAUCCAGAACUUCAGCACAAGGCAUGACAAACGGGCUUAUCUGCGUUUUGGAAGACAUGUUUGUCUGAAGGCAUCCAAUAGAGUUUAGAGCUAUUUCCCUUUUUUCCCCAUGUAGGAUAAAUUGCUCUCACACAAAAAGGAGAAUAAGGUGAGUCCCCUCAGACUCUGAAUCGAUGAUGAGGAUUAUGAUAGAAAUGUUAGGAUGCCAUUUCGAAUGGACAUUUUAUUAGAUAUUACUUGUCUCUUCAUGUUCACAAUAAACAUGAAUAGUUAUAAGAAAAUGAGGUAAAUAGAGACGUAUGCAAGCUUUGCUUUUCUGCCUUCAUAAUUUGCAAUGCACAUGCUGGGCAUGUACUGGAUGACCUUUUUAAUUGUUUCUCCCGUUUCUGAUUUUCUAUGGUUUGCUAGUACCUUGGGACUUGGGAUAUGCUGCUGAAAUGAAGGGCAAGCAUGUAGGGCAGUACUCCUGCCUUGCUGCCUGCAUUUUCACAAAUUCAUAAUGUAGCAAACACCUCUAAGUGGACAGCCGAUCAUUAAGGAUCCAGUGGAACCAUCUCAUGUGCAAAAGUGGACAUGAUUCUGAUGGACACAUGAACUGGAUUCUGAAAGUUCUUGGCAGCAACCCUAACUUUUAGCUUGAGCAUUGCACAUUAUUUUGCCCAGAAAGCUCUUCAUUUUCCUUGGGUGAUCAGACAAGCUCACAAGCAACAUAAAUUUGACUAAACAGAUGGCACCAAUCCACCCAUCCAUUAUUAGUUUCUAAUGUUAGGUCAACUACACACUUGCAGCUACAACUGCUGAACACAACUUUGACAUACAGUUGCUUAACUUUGUUCCUCUUUGAUAUUGACAGAGAUGAUGUUUUCUCUAACAUGAACACGUGCACAGCAAUUAAAAAUAUCGCCUUCUCGUUUUGCACACCACCUUAAGCAACUUUCUCAGCUUUGAUCCUGAGUAAUUAAGCUAAUUAAUGCAAGUAUGCAACUAUACAAGAUUCAAGCUUUUGUUGGAAGUUGAAGACCCACUCACUAAUGGUGGGAGUCUAAAGUUAAACUGCAGCAGCAAGAGCCCAGAAGCAAGCAACCAUAUGUACUUAAUCUGGCAAGAAUCACUGCAAUUUGUUCUCCAUGGCAAUGCAUUGAUGACCAACUAGUUGCUGAAUGCUACUCUGAUGGUGAUGUAUCAUGAUUAUGCUGGGUGACAGUUACAGAUGGAGACUUCAGCUUCUCUAUGCCAAAGUGUCCCAUUGGAACUGUAUCUCCUUGAUUAAUUAGGUGGAGGAACUGAGACUUGAUUUGGGUAUUAGUUAAUAAAUGCUCAUCAUCCGGGGUUUCUGUUGCAUAAUUAAGACUUAACCACCUUGCAAUUACAUAUAUAUGAUAGUAUUAUUAAAUGACAAGCAACUAAACCAAUAAAAUGAAGGUCAAGAUUGAUGGCUACAUAGGGUGCUUCAGUCUUUGCUCAACUGGGAGUAGGAUCCUAGGUUCACAGUGUGGUGAAGCUGUCUCUUUUCUAGUCGUGCGAUCAUAAACUGAAGGUCAAGAUUGAUCGCUACAGUAAUUCAUCCUGUCAGAUACUUGUAACGAGAAAACAAUGACAACAUUUUCCCUAAAAAAAAGAAAUCGAUGACAAGCUCUUUCUCUCUCUCUCUCUCUCCCCCUGAGAAAACAAUGCAUAGUAAAAAAACUUCCAGUCCAAUAUGGACAACAGAUAGAAUUGCAGAGCAUUAUUGCAAAUAAUGUAAUCAUUUAACAAAUAUAUCCAUGGAUAUGCCAUGAAAUCUGUACCAUAAGAAAACAAUGCAUAGUAAAAAUUCCAAUCCAAUAUGGACAACAGAUAAAAUUGCAGAGCAUUAUUGCAAAUAAUGUAAUCAUUUAACAAAUAUAUCCAUGGAUAUGGCAUGAAAUCUGUACCAUACCGUAUGUUCUUGAAAUAUAUAUCUUGUUUAUGCGGCAAGAAACAGAAACCUGAUUGGUUUAUGGAUCGGAUCAAGAUUUUUGCACCAAGCCAAGAAGGAAUGUGAUGCUACAUCAAACCUUGAUAUCUCUCUGUGCCUCCACAGGAUGACAGUAGCUCUGCACUCCUGAAUUUGGAAUGGAAAACCUCAUGUCAAAGAAUUUCUGGAGAGAUAAUUAUGAUAUCAUGUUAUAUCAUAUCAUAUAAUCUAGUAGCACCCUUUUGACCAAUGUGCCUCUUCAGCCACAGCAUCGAGUUGCUCAAGGUUUCUCUCAACUUGAGAUCAAGAAAAUUGCUUUCAAGCACUAUUGUUUAACAGUGGGAUUCAAUUUCUCUGACAAUGACAUGCAAUUCCAAUUUGCUUAAUAAUAUGAAAAAAAAAGACAGAGAUGUCCAAUGGAAUCAGAGGAGAGGUCCAUCUGCAGAGCUAGUGUUCAUACUUCAUACGCUUGGAUGGAUCAACCAGCCAUUUGAAGCAGUGAUUCAGUUAAGCUCUCCUCACCCUAAAAAAGAGAGAACAGAUUAAUGGAGAACUCCACUAAUAUCAUGGUAGAGAAGAACUUUACCAUCUAGAUAAUUUUGUGAUUCUUAACUUAGAUGAGCUAGACAAGGAAUCCUUUGCUUCCUUCUUGUAAUAUUUCUAAAACUGCAAAAGGGAUUGCUAAAAGGUCAGGAGCAGAAAGUCUGUCAAGUAAAGUUUAAAAAAGUGCACUCGAUCAUGCAGUCUGAUGGUUUUAAUCCUUUCAGAGCAAGGCAAAUGCAGCUUUACCACACAACACUGCACUAACUGCAAUGUCAAAUUGAGCCCUAAUUGGUGCAUAGCUGGUGCCUCUAAGCUAGUUGGUCUGUAUGAACUGGCCAGUCAACAUCCAUAGGUGCCUGGAAGCUUCAGACUCUCAGAAAGUUAGUACAAUUGUGCUAAAUUGAACUGAAUUAUACGCAACCAUGCAGUGGGAUUUCCCCUCUAUCCAGGAUUUUUAUCUUUGUACAAUUUCUGCAAUUCCUGCACCCAAUCAGUGGCCACAAUCUCAUUGGCUGGCCUCCAAAUGGAUGUGAAGAGCAGUCACUCUCCCUGCCUGCUCUUCAGAGUAAGUUGCUACUACAACCUUCACCUUCCAUGAAUGCACAUUGCAAAUCUGCAAGAACUUCUUAUGGCAUUGCAACAGCCUGCUUUUGAGGCCUUGGUUCUCCCUUGAACUCCACAGACCCCUAUCCUUCGCCUCACACGGUGAUCAUGACGGGUUCUUUCGUCGUGCAUCCCGCCAAUAAUACCGCCUUUUUGCCUUCCAUUUUGCUCACAUAGCGUGUCAAAAACAUAUACUAAUGUGAAAGUAAAAGAGUAACAGCUAACGAUGUGUAUAAGAAGAGAGUAGUAUGGCUACUUUACAGAGCAGUAUGUAUGCAAGUUCAGUUACAUGUAGCAAACAAAAGCAAAGAGGCAGUGUGCAUGUGUGAGAGUAUUGUUUUGGUUUUAUUUUUAUCCUUUUCCAUUUGCAGAAAAGGUGCUCCAAAAAUAAAAAUAAAGCAGGCCGACCACGCAUAUUUCCCUGUGGCCGAUGGCUACCUGCAACAUGGAAAUGCAAGGGAAGCAGACAAAUUUAUUCAGAUUCUGCCAAUUGUCUAUGCAAUUCUUUGGUAGAAUAAGAUGGUCCUGGUUUCGAAUUUUUAAUCCUUGCGCUUUAUGCUCUUCAGGGAAGUCUUUGAAACGCGUCGAAUUUCAGAAUCCGGUGCAAGUACUCAUGAGGAUCGAUGAUGUUGCGCGAUUCAUAUCGGGCUCAAGAACAUGUUCCUGACCUGUUUCUGUUUCAAAUGCCUAUCAAAAUGCUACUUUGAAUCAGCUUGAAUCAACCCAAUGCUGACCCUUAUUAACAAUAAACUUUUAACAGUUUUUAUUUCUGUUUCAAAAUAAAGGAUUUACAUUUCAUCAUGCAAACUUCACCAAAAUAUUGAAUCCUCUAAUUAACAAUGACUGAAUCUAAUCUGGGGCUUGCACUGUUCAAGUACUGAUGGAGCAAUGUGACUGAACAUGAACACAGCAGCCUUUGUCUCCAACACCUCCAUAUGAGUGCUAAGCAUAAGGCAUCACCGGCCACAUGGGAUUAAGAAACACACAAGCAGGUUAGUGCAUGCAUAAACCCCAUUUGCAGCAGGUCAUAAUCAGUAUUCAAUUGUGCACAAGUACAAUUCUGCUGAGGUGAUUAAAAAGUGGGCAGAGCCUUGGUUUCUGCAAGAAGGAAUCAAAAAGAUUGUUAUUUAAUUCCAGUAAGCCAUAUCUCAGCGUGAUAGAUCAUGUUUGCAGUGCCCACUAUGCUUUGGUAAGAUCUGAAAUUUCAUCCACUAUUAAGAUAUUCUUAUCUUCGAUAAGUAAUAGUUUUAGCCACAUUUAGUGUGCUUUGAAUAAUAUCAUUCUUCUCUUUAUUCCCUGGAGAAUUAUUGUUAAGGGAGACCUUUAUUCCAUUUCUUGUUCGGCCAAUUAAUCAAAUUGUAUAUUUAAAAGUGUUUAUUCUGGUGUAACCUUUGCAUCUCCAGAUAAGAUAUUUCUGUGUCAUGUCUAUGUACAAUAAUCAUUUUGUAUUAAAAAAACUGUUGGCUGAUUUACAAGCUGAAAAUCAGUCAGCUCAGCUAAGAAAAACUUAAAUUCCCUAGCAUCCUAGCCUUGUCAAGUUUCUGAAGAGAGAUAGUUCUUAUCUCAACCACCACGGCAUACUACUCAACUUCACUAGUCUCAUGUAUAAUGCAUGAACCAACCUUUGGACCCAAGUGACACUAUGAUCCAAAAGAUUCUGUUUUUUUUUUGUGCUCUUCUAUUUUCCAUCCUCUGUGACAUCUACAUCUUUAAAAGUUAACAAUAAUUGCUAAAUGCAAAUCAGAAUCACUUCAAAGGGUUAAUAUAUAAUGGAUAAAUAUCUGACUAAAUUAUUUCUCUCUUCUCCACAAGCACACACAAACAAACACAAAACAUAAAGAACUUUUUUGACACACCAAGUCAUGCUAAAGUACUAUUAAGUAAUGCAGUGACUCUAGUGCAAUUGAGUACCUGAAGAACUUUCAAGAUACCAACAGGAGAACCAAGGUCUAUAGUUCUUUUCUGUAGGAAGCAUUUUUUACUAUACUACUAUAUCUACAAGAACCAGAGUUUUCCUUCUGCAAUCAACACCUACUUACUUUAUAUAUAUAUAUAUAUAUAUAUAUAUAUAUAUAUAUAUAUAUAUAUAUAUAUAUAUGCACAAAUAUAUACAUAUGUACAUAUCAUGUAGCCGGAUCAAAACAGAAAUGUAGUUGUGUAAUAUUCACUUGACCAAAGAGAACAAAUCUUGGCAACAUAUGUCAUUUAAUACAAGUGAAAUCCCAAUCAAUUCAAACCAAUAAUACUCAUAUAUUUCAGGAUGUCACUAGACUUGUUAGUCCUUGUACUCACAUUCAGAGAACAUCAGCUAAGGUCCCCAUCGGUUGGUCUAGUCUUAUUAUAAGCCAUAACGGUUUAUUAGCGAUUAAAAAAAUGAUAUGUGAGUAAAACUUUUGUAUAUAUAUUCUUAGUGAUUGAAAAGCCAAAGUUAAAAAAAAACUAUGUUGAAAAAGGAUCAAAUUCAAAUUCAAAAUCAAGUUUUAAAAUUCAAAUUUUGGCUUUAGCUUAUAAGCCAUAGGGCAAACGAUGAGGCCCAAAGCUACAUUUCUGCAGGCUCUGAAACAAUCAAAACCAUCAAGCUCAACUCUCAUCUGGAUCGCCGGCGAUGGCCGACCGGAGCAAUGGCGGCCGGAGACGGAGAAGGAGAAUAUUCUUGGUUGGUUCUUGGUGAUAUUUGUUUCCCUCUUAUGUAUGCAAUGCAAUAUGUGGGUGGUGGAGAGGAAAGGUGGUGGCUGAGGUGAGGUGAGACCACCUUCUUGGCCCUUGAUUCCCUCCCUUUUGCAGCAUGUCCUCUGCAAUCUCCACUGGGGUGAGAGCUGGCUCUACUCCAUCAAUGUAGCAACCUCCCAGGCAAUGAGUCAAGCAUUGCAGCUAGCCAGGUCCAUUGCACCAAUUGCAUCUGCAGAUACUGCACUCCACUGCACUGCAGCUGCAGUGGUCCAUUCCAUUCCAUUUCACUGCAUUCAGUAUGAUGUAGUGUACCCUAAGUAUGUAUAGUGAGACUGUGUGUACAUGAACCAGUUUUUUUUCUUUAGACAAAGUAAGUUUUUAUUUAACUUAGCCAAUUACAUCGAGGAAAUACAAUUGUACUGAGCUAAGCACGGUCUGGUCUCUACAUAACUAGGAUGCACACGGUCAAAACUCACGCUCGCACCCUUACAUGAGCUAGUUAGCAUGGUGCAUUAUGUGUAUAUAUAUUUUACAAUUGUCAAUCACAAGUUGGGAGUGGUUGGUGAUCUGUUACUCCAGUUAUACCCACUGGAAGAUCAGAUUCAUGUGUGGCAGCAGAAUCACCAGGAAGCAUGUGGUUUGGUGGGUACCAAGAUACAUCAUGUGAGCUGGAGCCAGAUGAAAAAAAAUGAAUGAAUGAGGGGGUGUUUAGAUGGGGCUAAAACUUUUUAGCCCAUGUCACAUCGGAUGUUUGGACGCUAAUUUGGAGUAUUAAACCUAGACUAGUAAAAAAACUAAUUUCAUAAAUGAGAGCUAAUCCGCGAGACGAAUUUGAAGUAUUUAAGCCUAAUUAAUCCAUAAUUAUCAAAAGUUUACUGUAGCAUCACAUUGUUAAAAUCAUGGCGUAAUUAGACUCAAAAGAUUCGUCUCGCGAAUCAGUCCAAGGUUAUGGAAUGAGUUUUGUAAUUAGUGUAUGUUUAAUACUCUAAAUUAGUGUCCAAACAUCCGAUGUGACAGGACUUGGAAUAAGUCUCUAGAAAGCAGACAGGCCCGAAUGAAUUGAGCUGAACUGAUGAAAAAAAUCUGUGUGCUGCUACUGCUGCCUGUGAAUGAAUGAGAGGAGCUGAGCUACAAGAGUUGUCUGUCACUGCUAGGCUGCUGCUACUGUUGGUGCUGCUGCCAUUAGUUUUCAGAGAUGUGCAACAGUGCUGGUUGGUACAUGACAACUAGAAAGUAGUCUUCUAGUACACUCAAAUUCCCAAGAAACCAACAGAAAAAAGAUGUAGUAGUGGUAGAGAAUAGGGGGGAGAAAACAAAGAGGGUAAUUUGGAGAAUCUCUUUCUCUCUGCACAAUAACCAUCAGUACUGUACUGAACAAAUUCUGAGAAAAAAAAAAAGAAGAGCAAGCAAGAAAGAAAAGAAUACUAAGCCAGUUAAUACAUUUAUUCCUGCCAUAAAAAGACUGGCUGUUGUCACUCUUAUUAUUCCCACUACCUGUGGAAUAUUAACAAGAAUUUCCUGCAGAUUGAUUGAUUUAAUUUACUACCCCAACAUGUCCAUGAGCAUCACAAAAAUGUAGUACUAGUUGCAACAAUCUGAGGCUAGUAGUAAAGCACCAAUAUAACAUUGCAUCUCAACACAGUUUAGUAAUUCUUAAAAAAUAUAAGAAUUACUAAACUGAUUAAUUCAAAAGCAAACAUACAUACCAUGAGUCCAUGAGACAGCAGAGAGAGAGAGAGAGAGAGUAAUAGUAGUAGUAAUUAUAUAUUGCACUUCCUUGAUUUGUUUUGACAGAGAAACAGAAAGCUUACUGCCUCAUUAAUCCUUACAUAGUUGGAGUACAUGAUGAUGAUGAUGCAUGCAGAAGGCUUAACUUAACCAUCACUUGAUUUACCAAUUACACAAGAUAAUUAGGCCAUUAAUUAGCCCUAGCAGCUAGCUUAGCUUCGUUAGGUGCAGUGCUUAGUUGCUUACCCCCAGUGGCAAGUACUGUAAUUUUCUUCAUCUUCUUCUUGGUCUCUGCCAUGGCAGCUUCAGCUUCAGUGUUUGAGCUAGCAAAGCUGGAACAGCUCGGGGGAGGAUCUGAAGAGGUCGUCGAAGGCGGCGGAGUCGAAGGCGAGGAGCGGGUCGGUGGCGGCGGCGACGGUGAGGGCGGCGGCGGCGGCGGCGGCGGCGCCGUUGGUGUUGAUGCAGGAGAGGAUGUCGUUGAGGGAGGCGAGGCGCGCGGCGAGCUCGGCGGCCUGGGUGCGGAGGACGGCGUUCUCGGCGUCGACGGCGAGGAGGCCCUGGGUGGUGAGGCCGAGCGCGGUGGCGACGUGCGCGUUCUCGCGGCGGAGGUGCGCCACCUGCGCGGUGAGGUCGUCGAGGUGGCGCUGCUUCCGCAUCCGCGACCGCCGCGCCGACUCCCUGUUCGACAGCAUCCUCUUCGCCCGCCGCUGCUCCAUAAGCGCCCUCAGC
rnacentral:lncRNA from 1 species